AUACACUGUAAUCCCUAACAGUUGUUCUAGCUCAUAACUAAUAAGCUCAUAACACUCAAAUGUCGUUUUGUAGUUGAGCAAACUAUAAAGUAUUGAGCUCUGUUGGCUUUUAUGCAGCUUUAAUUGAAUAGGGCUCAAUAUUUUUUAGCUAAAUUUUUUGGAACGCUCAAAAAGUUUAAGAAGCAUAUAUUAGUGACGUUCUGGUGGGUGGAGUCUUGUCGCUCCCUCAGGAAAGCUUAGUCAGCCAUCUUGAAUUUACCUUGAUACGGGGAAGUUUUGGCCAGCCCGUGUGGAUUAAGAGUCCCCAACUUCAACCCACCACGACCACCACCUUAUUUUUUUUCAUCAACUGCCCUAAAUUUGGUAAGUCUAACGUGUUUUUGUUUUGUUUAAAUUUAAUUUCGAUAAACAUUCUUUUUUAUUUUUUACUGGAAAUAUAUUCGUACUUUGUGCACAGUGAAUGUUUGUUAUAAAUGAAUUCGAAUCCAAGUAAUUGUAAUUUUAGAAGUUUUCUAAUGUGACAAAUACGUAAUGUUAUUUCAAAUUAGAAUGAUGUAACGUUUUGGCGGUUUUCCGUGGGGGACAACAUUUCCCAUAAUGCAUUGUAUUCUUGCCCGGGAAGUUGACGGUGGCAGUUCUAGCUCCAUGCAUUUGAACUUUCUACUAAAACUUUCCACUGGUUGUCGUAUUCGCCGGUAAUGUACGUGCGUAUUAUAUCAGACUGCAAAGAGCGCUACAGAGAGUCAACAUUUCACCAGUUGUCAGUGGGAACAGCAUGAUGUAAAUACAAGACGGGCCCUCGUCCUUCGUGCACUUCCUGUGUACCUGCGUGAAGAUGCCUCCACGUUAUUCAGGACUUGUGAUUCAGCAGAUGGUCCAGACCUCACUGACACUCCUGUGGCUCUGCUGACAGUUGUCACGGAUGACACUACUGAUUCGGCCCUCUUCAGUCCCGAAAGCAUCUGCAUUGUCGUUGAGGAUGAAAUACUUGUGAAUGGUCCCACAAAUCUGGCUGAGUCAUUUCUCCUGCUCUUUGGGUACAUCUAUGCAUUAGACCUACAAUACCCAAAGAAACUUG
ensembl:lncRNA